UGAGCUCGCCGGACGGCCGCGGCGCAAGCCGAGGAAAGUCCGGACUCCACAGGGCAGGGUGCUGGGUAACUCCCAGGCGGGGCGACCCGAUGGAAAGUGCAACAGAGAGCAGACCGCCGAUGGCCGCAAGGCACAGGCAAGGGUGAAACGGUGGUGUAAGAGACCACCAGCGUCCCGGGCGACCGGGACGGCUCGGUAAACCCCACCCGGAGCAAGGCCGAGCAGGGACAGGGCGGCCCGCCCGCUACGUCCCGGGUAGGCCGCAACGAGCCCGACCGGCAACGGCGGGCCCAGAUAGAUGGCCGUCGCCGGGGUCCGCCCCGGUACAGAAUCCGGCUUACAGGCGAGCUCACAGG
rnacentral:RNase_P_RNA from 1 species